CGGGGUGCAGCAGGCGCGAAAACUUUACAAUGCCGGCAACGGCGAUAAGGGAACCUCGAGUGCCAGGUUACAAAUCUGGCUGUCGUGAUGCCUAAAAAGCAUUGCAUAGCAAGGGCCGGGCAAGACCGGUGCCAGCCGCCGCGGUAACACCGGCGGCUCGAGUGGUAACCGUUAUUAUUGGGUCUAAAGGGUCUGUAGCCGGCCGGGUAAGUCUCUUGGGAAAUCUGGCAGCUUAACUGUCAGGCUUUCAGGAGAUACUGCCUGGCUCGAGGCCGGGAGAGGUGAGAGGUACUUCAGGGGUAGGGGUGAAAUCUUGUAAUCCUUGAAGGACCACCAGUGGCGAAGGCGUCUCACCAGAACGGACCUGACGGCAAGGGACGAAAGCUAGGGGCACGAACCGGAUUAGAUACCCGGGUAGUCCUAGCCGUAAACGAUACUCGCUAGGUGUCGGCCACGGUGCGACCGUGGUCGGUGCCGUAGGGAAGCCGUGAAGCGAGCCACCUGGGAAGUACGGCCGCAAGGCUGAAACUUAAAGGAAUUGGCGGGGGAGCACAAGGGCGAAUCGCG
rnacentral:rRNA from 1 species